rnacentral:tRNA from 1 species
AGCCCUGUAGCUCAGUUGGUAGAGCAUGGUGUUUGCAACGCCAGGGGUUGUGGGUUCGAUUCCCACGGUGGGGCCA